rnacentral:SRP_RNA from 1 species
CGCAGGGGAAGGCCUCGAGGCCCUAGCCCUGGCCUCCGCAUAGCCGUAUAGGCUAUGCGCCGCAAACCGGGCUUACGGCGGGAGGCGUUAACCCACGGCCAGUCAAUCCUCUUCAAACCCGGACUAUGGCAAACUCGGUAUGAAGCUCAGUCCCGCAGGGUCGCCGCGGGUGAUAGGUCUCUCGUAGGAGAGGCCGAAUCACCGAACUGUCCGAAGUGGGUUAGGCCCGGGAGGGAGCGGCCCUAAGGACGGGCGGCGACGUUUGCGGGAGCGCUGGGCUGACUGGAGUUGCCAUAGUUUCCGAGUUUGAACGAUUGGCGACCCGUGGGGAAGCCCUGCG